GGCUGCUCAGAUCCUGAAGGGAUGCCAUCCAGAUCAAUUAACACUAGCCCACGCCUGCGUGUUUUGCCAGGUAAUGACACAAGCUUUGCAUCUAAACUAAGACCCAUUGAGAGGAUUGCGUUACAUAAUAAAUAGAGCGGGGGAGCAAAUCAGAGACCAAACUGGUGUUUCAGCUUGUUAGCUAAAAGAAAGCAAAAACAAAUUUCUCUAAGCUAUAUUGGCUAUUAUAAUCACUAGCUAGGUUCAAAGCCUUCCUGAUUGAUAUGAAAACGGAAAUUACUGAAGCAGGCAGGCUCAGCAGCGCCUCUGUAAAUGUAGCUGUCUGCAGUCAUGUGACAUUGUGUAGGGUAACUAGUUAGCUAACUAACAAUUGAUAAUGCAUGUUGUUAGUUAUGUAGUUAGCAUGUAGUUAGCUCUUCUUUACAAAUAAGGCAGGAGAAGUCUACUUCAAGUUAAACUUUGACAUUUAACUUGAUCCAAUAGCUACAUGUUAGCAACUAGCUAACUUCAUGCAAACUACUGUAAACUAGCUAGCAUUGCUUGGUAAAACUGAUAGAUACUACCAUGACAACCACAAUGAUUCACUAUAACACUGUAAACAAAUUAAUUAGCUACAACAGUUAGCUAUUGAUAUGGUAUUAGCGAGGCUAUUAGAGGCAGGUUAGCUAAACUCUAACUGAGUUAGCUACAACGUUAGCUAACUAAGCCAUGACAGCUGUCAAACUAGCUAACGUUAGCUAGAUAGAUUGCUAGCUACGUAAAGCUGUAGCGAACUGAGCGUGACAAAGACAACUGUGGCCAAAGGAAAGUAAUCCAGUACAUACACAGGGUAAUAUUUCGAGAUUCUGCAGCGACUUAAGUGUGCUUACCAAAAAUACAAGGGCGAAUAUAGACCACCCGAGAGCAGACUCAGAUAGCAACGACUGGUCCGCCAUCUUCACUUCCUGCAACAAACACGGACCAUGUGCUUCUAUUGACGUGACGGAAGGGGCGAUGCAGUGGAUACAAAGUUACCAAACAGAGAGACAGACCACAUCAGACAGAUAGAUAGAUACACUACAAUGAUCAUGUGGUAGAGUAGACCUACUGUUGAGUUGGGCUUCUUUAAAUGAGGUUGUUGAAUCAGUCUUUUGGAUGUUUCCUCCCAAGCUCAGACAGGCAAAAAAACAACACUUAUCUAUUUUGCAAAGCAUGAGUGCAAUGAGUGUUGCAGUUUUGUGGUGCCCAUCCCAAAUGUCACCCUAUUCCCAAUAAACGCAGUACCUUUGACCAGGGCUGUAGGGCAAAAGUACAGGCUAGUGCACUGCCAAUUGGGACGUAAACCAUGGUAAUUUAAUGAGACCCUCCAGUCAUUUCGGAUUAGAAUGUUCAUGUUAUUGAAGGAUGCCUU
rnacentral:lncRNA from 13 species